GAUGUUUUCACUGCAGACUUCCACAUUGUUCAGAGUCACCUGUGAGAUGAAGAAGGAAAAAUGUGAGGUCCUGUUCACUGGGCUUGCUGCCUACUCCAAUGCCAGACUGGCUGACAGUUGUACUCCAUGAGGCUCAGAGAGGGCUCUAAGAUGCUAAGGAAAGCCCGCAUCACCGUCAUCAGGUUUGAGACCAAAGACCCCUUCAUCCCAAUGGAGGGAACAGAAAUUUGCACUUAAGGUACCUCACUGAUGGGUAUCUGCUGGGAGCCAAGGAUGUUGUGUUAAGGAUAGAAGUUUUUAUUUUAUACAGACCUGAACUAGAAUCAUAAAGAAAAUUAAGAAACAAAUGGGCUUGGGAAUCAACCACUACUAGGACCUUUGUACCUGAGAAGCAGAAAGGCAGUCAAGUGUACCUGAAGUCAGCCUCUAGUUCUGUGGUAGCAAGGUUGAUCAUGGCACAGAGACAGUCGAUGCUGGAGCUGGACAGAGCUCGCCCAAUGCACUUCUUAACAAUGUAGAAGACGUCAUCUACCAUGCUGGAUGUCAACUGACCCUUCUCAUAGGUGUCAAGAGCCACAGCCUACCCAAAAGACAAAGUACCCAUGUUGGGGAUCAAACCCAAGACCUCACAUAUGACAUAAUUUCUCAUCAAGUUGCUCUGGACAAGCCGGAACUGUAAUACACCACAAAAAUGAGGACACUCUUCCCACCCACCAACUAUCUGCCUCUGUUAUUCCAAACUUCUAGCAUGUAAGCAUAAAGGUAAGCUAGCUAGGAGUUCAAAGCCAGCCUCAGCAAUGGCAAGGUUCUAAGCAACUCAGUAAGACCCUUGUCUCUAUAUAAAAUACAAAAUAGGGCUGGGGAUGUGGCUCAGUGGUCAAGUGCCCCUGAGUUCAGUUUCCAGCAUCCCCUCCCCGACAAAAAGGUAAGCUUGUCAGGUAUACCUUUCCUUCAAGCCAGAGGUAAGCUUCCAACAUAAUGGGUCAAAGAGUAACUUUUGGCUUAGAUGCUAACACUUGCCUUUGUUAUUGUACUUACAAGUAAUACUAGUGGUGUUCCAAUGCAUUACUGUCUAGAGUCUCCUAGUCUAGAGUUCUGGAAACACAAUUGUAUGAGGCUACUCCUAUUUCUAUAUACUACUUUUCCAUUGUCUGAUCAAAGGAAUGUAAAAAAUAAAAUUCUGAAUAAGCAAAGUUAUGUUUGCAAUGAAAGAACUAAGGGGAAAUUCAAGACUAAUUACAUAUCACUCAAUAGGAACUUAGGAAAAAAAUCCUCAUAUUGUCACCAGAGGGCACUGUUGUACAUUCUGUACUAAAGAAAUGGUCUAACAUAUAUGUUGUGUUCUUUAGGAAGUUCUAUUUCCUAUCCAUCACCAUCUUGACAAUAUCUCAAGUUGAAAACAAGGUGGUAAUGGGAAAAUGCAUGCCAGUCUGCAUUUAAAAUUUGUUUAUUCUAUGCAUCAUUUUUAAUUUUUUCUCCUCUAGUGUACUCUAUAUUCCUAACUAAAAAUGCUUUAAACUGUUGAUAGCUUCCCCAGCUCACCUGCUGG